GAUGAACGCUGGCGGCGUGCUUAACACAUGCAAGUCGAACGGAAAGGCCCAAGCUUGCUUGGGUACUCGAGUGGCGAACGGGUGAGUAACACGUGGGUGAUCUGCCCUGCACUUCGGGAUAAGCCUGGGAAACUGGGUCUAAUACCGGAUAGGACCACAUUUUGGAUGGUGUGGUGGAAAGUUUUUCGGUGUGGGAUGAGCUCGCGGCCUAUCAGCUUGUUGGUGGGGUAAUGGCCUACCAAGGCGUCGACGGGUAGCCGGCCUGAGAGGGUGUACGGCCACAUUGGGACUGAGAUACGGCCCAGACUCCUACGGGAGGCAGCAGUGAGGAAUAUUGCACAAUGGGCGCAAGCCUGAUGCAGCGACGCCGCGUGGGGGAUGACGGCCUUCGGGUUGUAAACUCCUUUCGCUAGGGAUGAAGCGCAAGUGACGGUACCUGGAGAAGAAGCACCGGCUAACUACGUG
rnacentral:rRNA from 1 species